rnacentral:rRNA from 1 species
UACGAAGGGUGCAAGCGUUACUCGGAAUUACUGGGCGUAAAGCGUGCGUAGGCGGUGAGUUAAGUCUGAUGUGAAAUCCCCGGGCUCAACCUGGGAAUGGCAUUGGAUACUGGCUCGCUAGAGUACGGUAGAGGGUGGUGGAAUUCCCGGUGUAGCAGUGAAAUGCGUAGAGAUCGGGAGGAACAUCUGUGGCGAAGGCGGCCACCUGGACCAGUACUGACGCUGAGGCACGAAAGCGUGGGGAGCAAACAGG